GCAUCCGUAGCUCAGCUGGAUAGAGUACUCGGCUACGAACCGGUUCGAAUCCUCCCGGAUGCACCA
rnacentral:tRNA from 1 species